rnacentral:rRNA from 1 species
GCUAUGUAGCAAGGUUAAGUACUUAAGGUAUGGAGCCGAAGGGAAACCGAGUCUGAAAAGGGCGAAAAGUUGCAUGGUGUAGACCCGAAACCGGGUGACCUAUCCAUGGCCAGGUUGAAGCGAGAGUAAAAUCUCGUGGAGGACCGAACCACGUUGGUGUUGAAAAACCAUGGGAUGAGCUGUGGAUAGCGGAGAAAUUCCAAUCGAACUCGGAGAUAGCUGGUUCUCCUCGAAAUAGCUUUAGGGCUAGCGUCGUGUAAUUGAGUAAUGGAGGUAGAGCACUGAAUGGGCUAGGGGCUAUAGUAGUUACCGAACCCUAUCAAACUCCGAAUGCCAUAUACUUGUAUCACGGCAGUCAGACUGCGAAUGAUAAGAUCCGUAGUCAAAAGGGAAACAGCCCAGACCAUCAGCUAAGGUCCCAAAGUGUAAGUUAAGUGGAAAAGGAUGUGGGAUUUCUAAGACAACUAGGAUGUUGGCUUAGAAGCAGCCACUCAUUUAAAGAGUGCGUAAUAGCUCACUAGUCAAGAGAUCCUGCGCCGAAGAUGUCCGGGGCUCAAACUUACCACCGAAGCUAUGGGUGUACACUAUGUGUACGCGGUAGAGGAGCUUUCUGUAUGGGUUGAAGUCGUACCGUAAGGAGCGGUGGACUGUACAGAAGUGAGAAUGCUGGCAUAAGUAGCGAGAAAUAAGUGAGAAUCUUAUUGGCCGAAAACCUAAGGUUUCCUGGGGAAGGUUCGUCCGCCCAGGGUUAGUCGGGACCUAAGCCGAGGCCGAAAGGCGUAGGUGAUGGACAAUCGGUUGAUAUUCCGAUACCGCCUAUUUACGUUUGAG